AAAUAUUUAUUUUGGAGGUAUAGUUUUCCUUUAACAGGUCAGUAUGUGCUCCCUACUUUAUUGGUUGCUAUAGAUAAGUGAAGCAUCUUAUUGCAUUAACCCUUUGGUCUUUUGGAAGGCUAGGCCUCCUUAUAUUAUUCUUCAGGAAAUGCCGUUGGCAUGACCUGGUUUACCCAUAUUCUUCACUUGUGGACUAAAUUCCAAUGGUUCUGAAAUUUCUGGUUCCAACAACAACUCACAGGCAACACUAUCCUCCUUUGUGUCCAGGGAUAUAGAGGAAACGUGUAAAUGAGAGAUCUAAAAGGAGCUUACAAUCUAAAAAAAAAAAUUAAGCGGUAGCAUUUGAUCCUUUUAUCGGCAGCAUUUCCAAGACUAUACCUCCUCCAGUAGAACUGGGUCCAUUUCAUUAUGUUUUGGUUCAGGGGAAACUGAGACUGGAGACAUAAUAUGAAUAUAGCUUGUCAAACUCUUAGAACACAAUACUAGUGCCUUCUAAUAAGGGUGGGAAUGAGUUAUUCAUGCAAUGGUUUACUCUUAGUUGUGGUACCUCCAGUUCAAAGAAGGGGGCCAAAACAUAUGGAUGCAAAGGGGGAAAUCUAGUUUAACAAAAAAAAAAUCCUGCAAGGGUAGACCAGCACAACACUGGUAGCAAAGGUCACCUUAAGUAGGAGUCUGUCCAGUUGCAAAAGCCAGUAGUAUAUAAAUCACUGAGAAGAGAUGUGUCUUGGAGAUGGCAAGUCAAAAUCCUGAAUGGAAUCCUAUGGAAGAACAAAUGGAAUUUAAGACGUAACCGGAAAACCCAAGGCUAACUGCCCUUUCAUUUUAAACAUUAUAUUUUGAGGACCCAGGGCUUUUUAAUGUGAAUCACCCACAUGACUGAUGCAAUUGCCUUCAAAUAUUAUUGGUUCUGCUGGUGUUUUAAGUUUCGAAUUUUCACUGCUUUAUUGUUGCUAGGGCUUAAUUACUCUAGCAACCAGGCAGCAGCUAAGCAUGUGUUUAACUCUUGUUUUAUGGCACUGUAUUAGUAGUUACCUGCAGGUCAGCACAAAAGUUGAACCGCCCUCAACCCUAACCCAACUUCUGAGGUGUCAUUCUUUAUAUACCUGGAUCAGACUACGGCCCAUUUCAUCCUCUAGAUCUUUGGGGAGUGUUGGAGAAGAGCAGAGCUCAUCCACAGCAACCAGGGGUACCUUGUGGGGCUAAAGCAAGGGCACAAGAACCUCCAGUUAAAUUAAGUCAAAUCCACCACAAGCUGGAACAUAAAAGACAGCAACCUUCAACCAAGGACCUCCAACUACAAUGUUGAUAUUUUAGAACAAAAGCUUGAAGGCUAGACACCAACCUGAGUAUUGUUUACUGCUGGAGGCAGCUGCCCAUUAGUCAGAAUGGUGGGAAGAACUUCCCUUAGAGGGUAUAUUUACCUCUUUAGGAUCAGGGUCACAUUUCUUCAGUCCGGGUGUCAUGGCUUCCCACUGUUUGAUCAAAGGAGUCGGCAUUGGGGCUGGGUUGGGUGCUGAUAAGGUGGAUGCACCCAACCCAGGAGACGUCCACAAUCUUCUUGGUUCUGAGUGCCUGAUAUCGGGAGACAUUCCCCAGGGAUUCAAAGCGUCUGAAUGGUGACACUUCAUGUCCAUUUCUUUAUAUUCCUCUGUAUUUCACUUUCCUGCUCUGGUUUUGAGUUAGAGCUACAAAGUGUCUAACUAGAAUAAAUAAUUUAAAAAGUGUACUAAAACCGGUUGUUGCACAAUUAUAGAAAAUGUAUUAACCCUUUAAAAAUUCAAAGUCAAUUGUUAAUCAUAUAAAAACUGUCCAGCCAGGAUUCAGAUUUAAUUCAGUGUAAAUUCAUAAAUAAAUGAACAAUCAAUAACUUAAAAAUCACAAUAAUAAAAUCAUUCCCUUAUGAGUCCAAAAAAGAUUUUAAACAUGGCAAAAGUCUUUGUGUGAGAGUGAUAGUUCUCCAAAAGCAAUCCAAAUCCACAAUGUUAAGGGUGAGUAGUAUUACUCUUAUAGCAUAGUCUCAAUAGUAUUUAUAACUCGGUAGAGUAAAGUAAAUAGUAUAGCUCUUACAGUGUAGUCUCAAUAGCUGUUUAUACACAUGGAAUGUGCAAAAUGUUGUAUGUGGGGUAAAGGGUUUAUCGGGGGGUCCCCCACAUUAUAGAGAUUCCGGGGAGAGUGGCUGAGAAACCAAACAAGUUCUGACCUUUUUCUCCCAUGAGCCAUCAGAGCAGAAAUUCAUUCAUCUUAAAUCUACCCGAAACCAACCUUCUGCACCCCCUCCAUUGCUCCAACCCUUUCACUGGGGUCAAAAUGUUUUGGACCAAUUGAUAACACAUUUUUUGUUACUUUCCUCCUUAUUUCCAGAAAUGUCUAAAAAAAAUUAUAAAAACCUUGUUCUUCUCUUGCAGCAUUCCCAGCUUCAAUGUUUGUUGGAGGCACUUCUGGAAUAUCUUCCUUAGUCUUCACUACAGGGGGAUCUGGAACAUUGUCAAAAUAUCCGCAGUCCAGGAGCUUAAUAGCCAGUUCCUUUAAAUAUUUAUCUGAAUCAAAUCAAAGAGGAUUCCCUUAAAGACAAUGGAUUCCUCGUCCAAAGUGUUUCUCUUUCUGCAAAUGAAUAGAUGCUCUCAAGGUGUUAAAACUACAACUCCAUAAACGACCACCCAUCAGUGGUCAGUGGUAACUGGGAGUUCAUUUUCAGAACCUCAGGGCCCAUUUGAGCUCAGUGUUUAUAACAGGUGUGGCCUAAUGUAAUUGACCCACAGAAAAUUUGUGUUAUAUAGAAAUUCUUUUUCAAGUUAAUGCUAAAUGGUGUCCCAGGUAUGCACUGCUCAGCCAUACUCAUGCAACCUACAUAAAUGUAUAGAAAGUUUUGGCUACAUAGCUUACAGAUUGUAGCAGCCACUGUUUUCUCGCUGCCUUCAAACAAGUUCCAGAAGUAGGUUGAACACUGAUCCAUCUGGUCUUCAAAACUUGAAACAGAAGAAUUGUGGUCAAUGAGUAAUUUGUGCACUUCAUCUUAAGAACAUCUAGGUGACAAGCAAGGUCUACUUUGUCAUUAUCAGAAGAUGCAAGAUAAAUCUACAUUUCACCAUU